UACGUAGGAGGCAAGCGUUGUCCGGAAUUACUGGGUGUAAAGCGCGUGUAGGCGGCACGUUAAGUUUGUGGUGAAAGCGCCCGGCUCAACCGGGCAGAGUCCACAGAAACUGGCGGGCUGGAGGUCGGUAGAGGCGAGUGGAAUUCCCGGUGUAGUGGUGAAAUGCGUAGAGAUGUGGAGGAACACCGAUGGCGAAGGCAGCCUCCUGGGCCAGCACUGACGCUCAUGCACGAAAGCGUGGGGAGCAAACAGG
rnacentral:rRNA from 1 species